UACGUAGGGGGCAAGCGUUGUCCGGAAUCAUUGGGCGUAAAGCGCGCGCAGGCGGUCCUUUAAGUCUGAUGUGAAAGCCCACGGCUCAACCGUGGAGGGUCAUUGGAAACUGGGGGACUUGAGUACAGAAGAGGAAAGUGGAAUUCCACGUGUAGCGGUGAAAUGCGUAGAGAUGUGGAGGAACACCAGUGGCGAAGGCGACUUUCUGGUCUGUAACUGACGCUGAGGCGCGAAAGCGUGGGGAGCAAACAGG
rnacentral:rRNA from 1 species